GGAAAGUGUACCUAGGGUUCCACAACCUUUGGGUUGGUUUGGUCCAAGCGGUACAGGCGUUUUACGCUACACCUAUAGGGAUAAAAGCCCAGGAGGU
rfam:Desulfotomaculum putei DSM 12395 genome assembly, contig: EJ51DRAFT_scaffold00007.7